rnacentral:rRNA from 1 species
AGUAAAAAGUCGUAACAAGGUUUCCGUAGGUGAACCUGCGGAAGGAUCAUUACCGAGUGUAGGGUUCCUAGCGAGCCCAACCUCCCACCCGUGUUUACUGUACCUUAGUUGCUUCGGCGGGCCCGCCAUUCAUGGCCGCCGGGGGCUCUCAGCCCCGGGCCCGCGCCCGCCGGAGACACCACGAACUCUGUCUGAUCUAGUGAAGUCUGAGUUGAUUGUAUCGCAAUCAGUUCAAACUUUCAACAAUGGAUCUCUUGGUUCCGGCAUCGAUGAAGAACGCAGCGAAAUGCGAUAACUAGUGUGAAUUGCAGAAUUCCGUGAAUCAUCGAGUCUUUGAACGCACAUUGCGCCCCCUGGUAUUCCGGGGGGCAUGCCUGUCCGAGCGUCAUUGCUGCCCAUCAAGCACGGCUUGUGUGUUGGGUCGUCGUCCCCUCUCCGGGGGGGACGGGCCCCAAAGGCAGCGGCGGCACCGCGUCCGAUCCUCGAGCGUAUGGGGCUUUGUCACCCGCUCUGUAGGCCCGGCCGGCGCUUGCCGAACGCAAAUCAAUCUUUUCCAGGUUGACCUCGGAUCAGGUAGGGAUACCCGCUGAACUUAAGCAUAUCAAUAAGCGGAGGAAAAGAAACCAACAGGGAUUGCCCUAGUAACG